GACGAACGCUGGCGGCGUGCUUAACACAUGCAAGUCGAACGGAAAGGCCCUGCUUUUGUGGGGUGCUCGAGUGGCGAACGGGUGAGUAACACGUGAGUAACCUGCCCUUGACUUUGGGAUAACUUCAGGAAACUGGGGCUAACACCGGAUAGGAGCUCCUGCUGCAUGGUGGGGGGUGGAAAGUUUCGGCGGUUGGGGAUGGACUCGCGGCUUAUCAGCUUGUUGGUGGGGUAGUGGCUUACCAAGGCUUUGACGGGUAGCCGGCCUGAGAGGGUGACCGGCCACAUUGGGACUGAGAUACGGCCCAGACUCCUACGGGAGGCAGCAGUGGGGAAUAUUGCACAAUGGGCGGAAGCCUGAUGCAGCAACGCCGCGUGCGGGAUGACGGCCUUCGGGUUGUAAACCGCUUUCGCCUGUGACGAAGCGUGAGUGACGGUAAUGGGUAAAGAAGCACCGGCUAACUACGUG
rnacentral:rRNA from 1 species